AGUUAAAACCAAAGAGAGGUGUGUUAUUGUUAAUAAUAUUAUUAAGAUUAAAUCUUUAAAGCUA
rnacentral:tRNA from 1 species